AGUACCCUGGGUGCUGCAGGUUGAGUCUGUGUGGGCAGAGUUUAUUUGAUGUGCAGAAAACACUGCAUUUCUUGUUGGGAAUCCUACUGAGCCCACACUGCUCCUAUGCUGCAGGUGUCCUGGCAGGGCAGGUGUGCCCAUGUGUUGCUUUGAUACACGUGAUUGUCUGCAGGUUUUUUAAUUUCUUUUUUUUGUUUUUGUUCACAUGUUUUUCAUUUGGAUGAUGAUGUUUUCAAGAGUAGACUCAUUCUUGAAGUCUUGUCUUUUAUUUCUCUUGUAGCUGGCUGUGAGAAGAAUACUUCAGUUGUAAAUGGAGAAAAUGUGAUAUGAAAUUCAUCAAGAGGUGGUGUUAAAGGGUUUCUGCAGGUCAGAUAUGGAUGUCUCUGUGGACUUUACACACUUCCCCCCAGUUUUUCCAUCUAGGUGGAAACGGCACAAGAAAUGAAAUGCAGCGGGAAGACCGGGAAAAGAUGUGGCUUGUGCUUGUGUCAGAGGAAGACACAAGACUUGUGUUGUAUGGUGGGAAUAACACACAUGUCUGUUUGCAUGCCCUGUGUGUACAUUCAAAAAAAGAAAUAUUUGAUGUCU